rnacentral:lncRNA from 1 species
GUUGUUAGAUAUAUGUGGAUUGUGAUCUCCAAUCUCUUUAAUGUCUUUCAGCUUUUGAAUUGGCACAUGCAUAAAUUUCAUGAACAUGACGAAGAUAAAAGUUUUGACUAAUGUAGUCUCUUUGUUCGCUUAAAUUUAUUGGGAUGCUGGAGAAGACAAUUGAUGAUGGCUAAAGAUACUCUGAGGGUGGAAACUCUGUGCUAUAGUGUGCCCUUGUGCCAGGAAAUCACCUUUCCCUAACCAUUGCCAGAUGUAAAGAUGCAAGGUAAUCGGUGGAUUUUGUUUUUCGAAAUUCAUUUAUCUGGAGAAAAUCGCGAACUUAAAAUCCUUUAUCUGUUUAUUGUUCUUUUCAAAUUCAUUUCUACUCAUUUCUUUUUUGUCAGAAAUUUAUUUGAAAAAAAAGUAGCAGCAGGUUAAAAUGAGAUUCUCAUCACAAAUUUUGAUCUCUCCUUUAUCAGGUAAAACCUUGAUUAUUUUUUUUCUGUGCUUUGAUAUAAAUCAUUAUGUCCUCUAAUUCACUUUAUUUAAAUUGAUUUAUCAAAUUUGUGUUCUAAUUUAAUGAUGAAAUUUAUCAUUAUGUGUUAUAGUGUGCCCUUGUGCCAGGAAAUCACCUUUCCCUAACCAUUGCCAGAUGUAAAGAUGCAAGGUAAUCGGUGGAUUUUGUUUUUCGAAAUUCAUUUAUCUGGAGAAAAUCGCGAACUUAAAAUCCUUUAUCUGUUUAUUGUUCUUUUCAAAUUCAUUU